rnacentral:rRNA from 1 species
AUUGAACGCUGGCGGCAGGCCUAACACAUGCAAGUCGAACGGUAGCACAGAGAGCUUGCUCUCGGGUGACGAGUGGCGGACGGGUGAGUAACGUCUGGGAAACUGCCCGCGGGAGGGGGAUAACUACUGGAACCGGUAGCUAAUACCGCAUAACGUCGCAAGACCAAAGUGGGGGACCUUCGGGCCUCACCCCAUCGGAUGGCCCCAGAUGGGAUUAGCUAGUAGGUGGGGUAAUGGCUAACCUAGGCGACGAUCCCUAUCUGGGCUGAGAGGAAGACCAGCCACACUGGAACUGAGACACGGUCCAGACUCCUACGGGAGGCAGCAGUGGGGAAUAUUGCACAAUGGGCGCAAGCCUGAUGCAGCCAUGCCGCGUGUAUGAAGAAGGCCUUCGGGUUGUAAAGUACUUUCAGCGGGGAGGAAGGCGGUGAAGUUAAUAACUUCACCGAUUGACGUUACCCGCAGAAGAAGCACCGGCUAACUCCGUGCCAGCCGCCGCCGUAA